GCCUUCCGAGUUCCCUGGAACGGGACGCCAUAGAGGGUGAGAGCCCCGUCCGGUCGUGCGCCUAGCCUCUGUAAAGCUCCUUCGACGAGUCGAGUAGUUUGGGAAUGCUGCUCUAAAUGGGAGGUAUACGUCUUCUAAAGCUAAAUACCGGCCAGAGACCGAUAGCGCACAAGUAGAGUGAUCGAAAGAUGAAAAGCACUUUGAAAAGAGGGUUAAAUAGUACGUGAAAUUGCUGAAAGGGAAGCGCUUAUGACCAGACUUGGGCGCGGCGGAUCAUCCGGCGUUCUCGCCGGUGCACUCCACCGCCCCAGGCCAGCAUCAGUUCGCGCCGGGGGACAAAGGCUUCGGGAAUGUGGCUCCCUCGGGAGUGUUAUAGCCCGCUGCGUAAUACCCUGGCGCGGACUGAGGUCCGCGCUCUGCAAGGAUGCUGGCGUAAUGGUCAUCAGUGACCCGUCUUGAAACACGGACCAAGGAGUCGUCUUCGUAUGCGAGUGUUCGGGUGUCAAACCCCUACGCGGAAUGAAAGUGAACGUAGGAGAGAGCUUCGGCGCAU
rnacentral:rRNA from 1 species